GCUCUCCCCUCAGCAGCACGUGUAGUAAAAUUAGAGCGGCACAGAGAUUAGCAUGGCCCCUGAGCAAGGAGGACACGGAAGUCUGUGACGUGUUCCAUAGGUGG